UUGACUUUCUUCCAGAAGGCUGCGGCCUGGUUCAAGUAAUCCAGGAUAGGCUGUAUCCAUCCGAGCUGGCCUAUUCUUGGUUACUUGCACUAGGAGGCAACCACAGCUUCAUAUUCCAGAG
rnacentral:pre_miRNA from 10 species